rnacentral:rRNA from 1 species
UUGAACGCUGGCGGCAUGCUUUACACUUGCAAGUCGAACGGCAGCACGGGGGCAACCCUGGUGGCGAGUGGCGAACGGGUGAGUAAUGCAUCGGAACGUACCGUGUAAUGGGGGAUAACGAGUCGAAAGACUUGCUAAUACCGCAUACGCCCUGAGGGGGAAAGUGGGGGAUCGUAAGACCUCACGUUAUACGAGCGGCCGAUGCCGGAUUAGCUAGUUGGUAGGGUAAUGGCCUACCAAGGCGACGAUCCGUAGCUGGUCUGAGAGGACGACCAGCCACACUGGGACUGAGACACGGCCCAGACUCCUACGGGAGGCAGCAGUGGGGAAUUUUGGACAAUGGGGGCAACCCUGAUCCAGCCAUGCCGCGUGAGUGAAGAAGGCCUUCGGGUUGUAAAGCUCUUUCAGCAGGAACGAAACGGUCGGCUUUAAUAAAGUCGGCUAAUGACGGUACCUGCAGAAGAAGCACCGGCUAACUACGU